GAGUUUGAUCGUGGCUCAGGAUGAACGCUGGCGGCGUGCCUAACACAUGCAAGUCGAACGAAGCACUGAAAACGGAGAUUCGUCGAAGUUUUCUUUGACUUAGUGGCGGACGGAUGAGUAAUGCGUGAGCAACCUGCCUUUCAGAGGGGGACAACAGUUGGAAACGACUGCUAAUACCGCAUAACGUAUUUAGGGGGCAUCCCUUGAAUACCAAAGGAGCAAUCCGCUGAAAGAUGGGCUCACGUCUGAUUAGCUAGUUGGUGAGGUAAC
rnacentral:rRNA from 1 species